rnacentral:rRNA from 1 species
UAAACUCUGUCGUGCUGGGGAUAGAGCAUUGCAAUUGUUGCUCUUCAACGAGGAAUGCCUAGUAAGCGCGCGUCAUCAGCGCGCGCUGAUUACGUCCCUGCCCUUUGUACACACCGCCCGUCGCUACUACCGAUCGAAUGGCCAAGUGAGGCCUCUGGACCAGCCCUCGGGUGUCGGCAACGGCAGCCAGGGGUUGGGAAGCUGGUCAAACUUGGUCAUUUAGAGGAAGUACAAGUCGUAACAAGGUUUCCGUAGGUGAACCUGCGGAAGGAUCAUUAUGGAGGAAAGCCUAGGCAUUCGGGCCCCUUCUGAUGGGGGGAUCCCGGAGCUGGUGCUAUGCUCCUUGUCGGAACAAUCCACAGUUUGCCUCCUGCCAGCAAUCCAGCGCGAUUGUCUGCUGGCAGAACAAGAGACAAGCACGGGGGAAGUAUGGCGCCAAAGGCCUGUUUGGCGACAGGUCUGAAUCGCCUAGUCUUGAAAAGAACAUGAAGUGAAAUAGGGUGUACACCCAUGAUUAUUCCUUGAAAACCUUUGACGAUGGAUCUCUUGGCUCUGGCAUCGAUGAAGAACGCAGCGAAACGCGAUAGGGUGAUGCGAUUUGCACAGCAUAGCGAACCAUUGAAUCUUUGAACGCACAUUGCGCCCCUCUGCCGUUUCACGGUUCGGGGGGCACGCCUGUCCGAGCGUCGCCAUGAAUGUCGAGCCUUACGGGCUUGGUUUUGGGGCUUUUAUCCCUCUGGGCCAUGCUUUUGGGCCUGGAUUGCCUUGCAAGCUGUUGGUGGUGCCCCUGGUGCCUUUGGGUUGCAGCUAGGGUUGGGUAAAAAUGCCAUUCUGCCUGCGCGCAAAUUGCGCGCAGA